rnacentral:rRNA from 1 species
GACGAACGCUGUCGGCGUGCUUAACACAUGCAAGUCGAACGGAAAGGCCCUGCUUUUGUGGGGUGCUCGAGUGGCGAACGGGUGAGUAACACGUGAGUAACCUGCCCUUGACUUUGGGAUAACUUCAGGAAACUGGGGCUAAUACCGGAUAGGAGCUCCUGCUGCAUGGUGGGGGUUGGAAAGUUUCGGCGGUUGGGGAUGGACUCGCGGCUUAUCAGCUUGUUGGUGGGGUAGUGGCUUACCAAGGCUUUGACGGGUAGCCGGCCUGAGAGGGUGACCGGCCACAUUGGGACUGAGAUACGGCCCAGACUCCUACGGGAGGCAGCAGUGGGGAAUAUUGCACAAUGGGCGGAAGCCUGAUGCAGCAACGCCGCGUGCGGGAUGACGGCCUUCGGGUUGUAAACCGCUUUCGCCUGUGACGAAGCGUGAGUGACGGUAAUGGGUAAAGAAGCACCGGCUAACUACGUGCCAGCAGCCGCGGUGAUACGUAGGGUGCGAGCGUUGUCCGGAUUUAUUGGGCGUAAAGGGCUCGUAGGUGGUUGAUCGCGUCGGAAGUGUAAUCUUGGGGCUUAACCCUGAGCGUGCUUUCGAUACGGGUUGACUUGAGGAAGGUAGGGGAGAAUGGAAUUCCUGGUGGAGCGGUGGAAUGCGCAGAUAUCAGGAGGAACACCAGUGGCGAAGGCGGUUCUCUGGGCCUUUCCUGACGCUGAGGAGCGAAAGCGUGGGGAGCGAACAGGCUUAGAUACCCUGGUAGUCCACGCUGUAAACGGUGGGUACUAGGUGUGGGGUCCAUUCCACGGGUUCCGUGCCGUAGCUAACGCUUUAAGUACCCCGCCUGGGGAGUACGGCCGCAAGGCUAAAACUCAAAGGAAUUGACGGGGCCCCGCACAAGCGGCGGAGCAUGCGGAUUAAUUCGAUGCAACGCGUAGAACCUUACCUGGGUUUGACAUGGAUCGGGAGUGCUCAGAGAUGGGUGUGCCUCUUUUGGGGUCGGUUCACAGGUGGUGCAUGGCUGUCGUCAGCUCGUGUCGUGAGAUGUUGGGUUAAGUCCCGCAACGAGCGCAACCCUUGUUCACUGUUGCCAGCACGUUAUGGUGGGGACUCAGUGGAGACCGCCGGGGUCAACUCGGAGGAAGGUGGGGAUGACGUCAAGUCAUCAUGCCCCUUAUGUCCAGGGCUUCACGCAUGCUACAAUGGCUGGUACAGAGAGUGGCGAGCCUGUGAGGGUGAGCGAAUCUCGGAAAGCCGGUCUCAGUUCGGAUUGGUGUCUGCAACUCGACCUCAUGAAGUCGGAGUCGCUAGUAAUCGCAGAUCAGCAACGCUGCGGUGAAUACGUUCCCGGG